UCAAGUAAUUAAGGGUGUUGGGUGGAUGGUUAGGCUCUCAGAGGCGAUGAAGGACGUGCUAAGCUGCGAAAAGCCGGGGGAAGAUGCACCGAAUCGACGAUCCCCGGGUGUCCGAAUGGGGCAACCCAGUAGAGUGAACCUCUAUUAUCCGAAAGGAAGCCAACCGGGUGAAUUGAAACAUCUUAGUAGCCCGAGGAAAAGAAAUCGAAGAGAUUCCGCCAGUAGCGGCGAGCGAAAACGGAAGAGGCCAAACCAGGGAGCUUGCUCCCUGGGGUUGUAGGACUGCAUUUAGGAUUCAAUGACGUGAGCAGAACUACCUGGAAAGGUAGGCCAGAGACGGUGAUAGCCCCGUACGCGAAACGAAGUUGACCGAGCAGUAUCCUGAGUAACGCAAGACUCGUGAAAUCCUGCGUGAAUCUGGGGCGACCAUGCUCUAAGCCUAAAUACUCCUGUGAGACCGAUAGUGCACAAGUAGCGCGAGCGAAAACUGAAAAGUACCCCUGACGGGGAGUGAAAUAGUCCCUGAAACCCAACACUUACAAGCAGUCAUAGGCCUAUGUCGCAAGACAGGCUGGUGGCGUGCCUUUUGCAUAAUGAUCCUGCGACUUACCGUCGGCUGCAAGCCUAAGGCCUUACGGGCUGGAGGCGUAGCGAAAGCGAGUGUGAAUAGCGCGUUGAGUAGUCGGCGGUAGACCCGAAACCUAGUGAUCUAGCCAUGAGCAGGUUGAAGCGAGGGUAACACCUCGUGGAGGACCGAACAGGUAUACCUUGAGAAGUGUUCUGAUGACUUGUGGCUAGGGGUAAAAGGUCAAUCAAACUGGGAGAUAUCUGGUUCUCCUCGAAAUAUAUAUAGGUAUAGGCUCGGAGGGUAGUUGUAAGGGGUAGAGCACUGAAUGGACUAGGGGCCUUACCGGGUUACCAAAUCCAAUCAAACUCCGAAUACUUACAGCGUAGACUCCGGGGCUCAGACAGUGGGGUCGAAUCUUCAUUGUCAAAAGGGAAAGAACCCAGACCAACAGCUAAGGUCCCAAAAUAACGCUCAGUGGUAAAGGAAGUCUUUGUGCUAUGACAGCUGGGACGUUGGCUUAGAAGCAGCCAUCGUUUAAAGAGUGCGUAACAGCUCACCAGUCGAGCACGAAGGUGCCGAAAAUAAUCGGGGCUUAAGCGUUAUACCGAAGCUUUGGCUGCUAUCACACCUGCGGGUGUGGUGGCGGGGUAGGGGAGCGUUGUAUGCGGAGCGAAGGUACACGGCAACGAGUACUGGACUGCAUACAAGUGAUUAUGCAGGAAUGAGUAACGAUCAAAAAGGUGAGAAUCCUUUUCGCCGUAAACCUAAGGUUUCCUCCGCUAGGUAAGUCCGCGGAGGGUUAGGCGGGACCUAAGACGAGGCCGAUAGGCGUAGUCGAUGGACAGCCGGUUCAUAUUCCGGCCCCUCUCAUGGGGUGCCCACGGAGAACACAGGAGACUAACACGGAGGGAUGCCAAGUAAGCCCUCGGCGUGAUGGUGAUUGCUGCAUUGAAAGAUGCGGUGCGUUCGCCAUUACGAUCAAACGCCUUGAGCGAUAUGAGCGUGUGAUGUCACCCUGUCGAGAAAAGCCCGUCGGGAGAUAAUGUCAUGAGAGACCGUACUAAAACUGACACAGGUAGGUGAGGAGAGUAUCCUCAGGUGCUCGAGAGAACUCUGGUUAAGGAACUCGGCAAAUUCACUCCGUACGUUCGCAAGAAGGAGUGCCAGCUUCGGCUGGCCGCAGUGAAGAGGCCCAACCGACUGUUUACUAAAAACACAGUUCUGUGCUAACUCGAAAGAGGAUGUAUACGGAAUGAUGCCUGCCCGGUGCUCGAAGGUCACAUGGAGCGGUUAGCGUAAGCGAAGCUGCGAAAUCAAGCCCGAGUAAACGGCGGCCGUAACUAUGACGGUCCUAAGGUAGCGAAAUUCCUUGUCGGGUAAGUUCCGACCUGCAUGAAAGGCAUAACGAGUUGGGCACUGUCUCAACCAGAGACUCGGUGAAAUUGCAAUAUGGGCGAAGAUACCCAUUACCCGCAGCAGGACGAAAAGACCCCGUGAACCUUUACUGCAGCUUGAUACUGUGUUUCUGUAACGCAUGCGUAGGAUAGGUGGGACGCUUUGAUUUCCUGGUUCCGGCUAGGGAUGAGCGGUCGGUGAAAUACCACUCUUGCGUUAUGGGAAUUCUAACCUGGCCUUUGUACGGCUGGGAACACUGUCAGGCGGGCAGUUUGGCUGGGGCGGCUUCCUCCCAAAGAGUAACGGAGGAGCACAAAGGUCAGCUCAGUACGGUUGGCAAUCGUACGUGGAGUGCAAGAGCAUAAGCUGGCUUAACUGCGAGACCCAUAAGUCGAGCAGACGCGAAAGCGGGUUCUAGUGAUCCGGUGGUUCCAGAUGGACGGGCCAUCGCUCAACAGAUAAAAGGUACUCCGGGGAUAACAGGCUGAUUUCGCCCAAGAGUCCCUAUCGACGGCGAAGUUUGGCACCUCGAUGUCGGCUCAUCUCAUCCUGGGGCUGGAGAAGGUCCCAAGGGUAUGGCUGUUCGCCAUUUAAAGAGGUACGCGAGCUGGGUUUAAACCGUCGUGAGACAGGUUGGUCUCUAUCCGCUGUGGGCGCUGGACGAUUGAGGAGACUUAACAUUAGUACGAGAGGAUUAUGUUGAACACCGCUCUGGUGUACCGGUUGUCACGCUCGUGGCAGUGCCGGGUAGCUACCGGUGGACGGGAUAAACGCUGAAAGCAUCUAAGCGUGAAGCCCACUCUAAGAUGAAUCGUCCCUACGAAUGCCGUUGAAGACUACAACGUUGAUAGGUUGGGGGUGUAAGUGCGUAUAUCCAAAGGCACUAAGCUGACCAAUACUAAUCGCAUCAUUGGCUUGAUCGU
rnacentral:rRNA from 1 species